rnacentral:rRNA from 1 species
AACGGGUGAGUAGCACGUGAGCAACUGCCCCGAAGACCGGGACAACACCGGGAAACCGGUGCUAAUACCGGAUAUCCCUAUCGGACCGCAUGAUCUGAUAAGGAAAUGGAUUCCGCUUCGGGAGGGGCUCGCGGCCUAUCAGCUAGUUGGUGAGGUAAUGGCUCACCAAGGCAUCGACGGGUAGCUGGUCUGAGAGGACGAUCAGCCACACUGGGACUGAGACACGGCCCAGACUCCUACGGGAGGCAGCAGUGGGGAAUCUUGCGCAAUGGGCGAAAGCCUGACGCAGCAACGCCGCGUGGAGGACGAAGGCUUUCUGAGUUGUAAACUCCUUUCAGCAGGGACGAUAGUGACGGUACCUGCAGAAGAAGCACCGGCCAACUACGUGCCAGCAGCCGCGGUGAUACGUAGGGUGCAAGCGUUGUCCGGAUUUAUUGGGCGUAAAGAGCUCGUAGGCGGUUUGAUAAGUCGGGUGUGAAACCUCCAGGCUCAACCUGGAGCCGCCACUCGAUACUGUCAUGACUAGAAUUCGGUAGGGGACCACGGAAUUCCUGGUGUAGCGGUGAAAUGCGCAGAUAUCAGGAGGAACACCAGCAGCGAAGGCGGUGGUCUGGGCCGACAUUGACGCUGAGAAGCGAAAGCGUGGGGAGCGAACAGGAUUAGAUACCCUGGUAGUCCACGCCGUAAACGUUGGGCACUAGGUGUGGGGACUAUUCAACGGUUUCCGUGCCGCAGCUAACGCAUUAAGUGCCCCGCCUGGGGAGUACGGCCGCAAGGCUAAA